AGUGUAUCGCCAUCUUCUUUCUUUCUCUCAUACUGCUUUAGAAAACACACUAAUUGCUAGUUUUGCUAUCUAAAUUCUGCGUAAAACGUUGUUGUUUUCAUGUUUUAUAAUCUCUUCCUUUGCUAAUUCUAUCAAAAAAUUGGGACUCCUCAUGGAACCCAAAUUUCUUCUUUCCUCAACAACAAGACCGUUCGCUCCAAAUGGAGCUUUUCCCUUUUCAGUUUCCCAAAAAUCAUCUUUUAUUCAGAAAACUAGAAUUUGUCCAGUGACACAUCUGGCUAUAUCAGCAGAGCAUUUUGGAAAGACUCAAAUUUUGGGCAAAAGUUUGUCUUUUGGAGUGAAGAAUGAAUCUAUAUGUAAUUUAAGGAAAACACUGGUAGAGAAGACUCCAUUUUUGGGCGAAAGUUUAUCUUUUAGAGAAAAGAAUGAAUCUUCAGGUAAUUUGAGGAAGGUGCCCAAUUUUUCUAUUACAGCAGCUGGUACUGUUAAGAGAAGGAAAGAGCUUCCUUUUGAUAAUGUGAUUCAAAGGGAUAAGAAGCUGAAAUUGGUUAUGAAGAUUAGAAAGAUUCUAGUGAGUCAGCCUGAUAGAAUUAUGUCGCUUCGUGAAUUGGGUAGGUAUAGAAGAGCAUUGGGUCUAGAGAAGAAAA
rnacentral:misc_RNA from 1 species